rnacentral:rRNA from 1 species
GAUGAACGCUGGCGGCGUGCUUAACACAUGCAAGUCGAACGAUGAUGCCCAGCUUGCUGGGUGGACUAGUGGCGAACGGGUGAGUAACACGUGAGUAACCUGCCCUUGACUCUGGGAUAAGCCUGGGAAACUCGGGCUAAUACCCGAUAUGACCAUCUGGCGCACGUGAUGGUGGUGGAAAGCUUUUGUGGUUUUGGAUGGACUCGCGGCCUAUCAGCUUGUUGGUGGGGUAAUGGCCUACCAAGGCGACGACGGGUAGCCGGCCUGAGAGGGUGACCGGCCACACUGGGACUGAGACACGGCCCAGACUCCUACGGGAGGCAGCAGUGGGGAAUAUUGCACAAUGGGCGCAAGCCUGAUGCAGCGACGCCGCGUGAGGGAUGACGGCCUUCGGGUUGUAAACCUCUUUCGGUAGGGAAGAAGCGAGAGUGACGGUAACUGGAGAAGAAGCACCGGCUAACUACGUG